UCUGUCCGCUUCGGUCUCACCUGUCUCUCUGUCCGCUUCGGUCUCACCUAGAUCUAGAUUCUGGCAGAUUUACUGAAUAGAAACACCCGUUGGGUGCUGUUUUCAAAGCCUCUAAUGCAAACUACUGCUGAUAAA